rnacentral:rRNA from 1 species
AUACGUAGCGGGCGAGCGUUGUCCGGACUGAUUGGGCGUAAAGGCCGCGUAGGCGGCGCGGUAAGUCUGGAGUGAAAGUCCUGCUUUCAAGGUGGGAAUUGCUUUGGAUACUGCCGCGCUUGAGUGCAGGAUAGGUUAUCGGAAUUCCCGGUGUAGCGGUGAAAUGCGUAGAGAUCGGGAGGAACACCAGUGGCGAAGGCGGGUAACUGGACUGCAACUGACGCUGAGGCGCGAAAGUGUGGGGAGCAAACAGGAUUAGAUACCCUGGUAGUCCACACUGUAAACGAUGAAUGCUAGGUGUAAGAGGUAUCGACCCCUUUUGUGCCGGAGUCAACACAAUAAGCAUUCCGCCUGGGGAGUACGGCCGCAAGGUUGAAACUCAAAGGAAUUGACGGGG